AUCCUUUUAUUGGUUCAUAAGUGUGAUGAUUGAGUGCCCACCUGCUUGCAUGACAUGUACCUCUUACAAACCUUGUUAUGAUUUCAGCACAUUAUCCAUCUGACA